rnacentral:rRNA from 1 species
UACGAAGGUGGCAAGCGUUGUUCGGAUUUACUGGGCGUACAGGGAGCGUAGGCGGUUCGGUAAGCCCUCUGUGAAAUCUCCAGGCUUAACCUGGAACAGUCGGAGGGACUGCUGGGCUAGAGGACGGGAGAGGAGCGCGGAAUUCCCGGUGUAGCGGUGAAAUGACGUAGAGAUCGGGAGGAAGGCCGGUGGCGAAGGCGGCGCUCUGGAACGUUUCUGACGCUCAGGUGCGAAAGCUGAGGGAGCGAACGGAGGAA